GACGAACGCUGGCGGCGCACAUAAGACAUGCAAGUCGAACGAACUUAACCUUAAUAUUUAUAUUUAGGAGCGGUUAGUGGCGGACUGGUGAGUAACACGUAAGCAAUCUGCCUAUCAGAGGGGAAUAACAGUGAGAAAUCACUGCUAAUACCGCAUAUGCUCCCACUACCACAUGGUAGAGAGAGGAAAGGAGAAAUCCGCUGACAGAUGAGCUUGCGCCUGAUUAGCUAGUUGGUAAGGUAAUGGCUUACCAAGGCGACGAUCGGUAGCCGGACUGGGAGGUUGACCGGCCACAUUGGGACUGAGACACGGCCCAGACUCCUACGGGAGGCAGCAGUGGGGAAUGUUGGGCAAUGGGGGAAACCCUGACCCAGCAACGCCGCGUGAGUGAAGACGGCCUUCGGGUUGUAAAGCUCUGUCAACGGGGACGAUAAUGACGGUACCCGUGGAGGAAGCCACGGCUAACUACGUGCCAGCCGCCGCGGUAACAC
rnacentral:rRNA from 1 species